rnacentral:lncRNA from 1 species
AGAUGCCCAGACAGGCCGCGCUGAGCGUGCUGUGUCUUUCUGCAGCAGAGGGUCUCUGGGCGGCGUCGGUCAGGCGCGAGGUACGCAGCAGGAGCGCCGGCGUCCAGGCCCUGCUGACUGCCCACUCCUGCCCUCUCUGCCCCAGGCCUGCGGCUGCCCCCUCUACUGGAAGGGGCCGCUCUUCUAUGGCGCCGGCGGGGAGCGCACGGGCUCCGUGUCCGUCCACAAGUUCGUCGCCAUGUGGAGAAAAAUCCUCCAGAACUGCCACGACGACGCGGCCAAGUUCGUCCAUCUGCUCAUGAGCCCCGGCUGCAACUACCUGGUGCAGGAGGACUUUGUCCCCUUCUUGCAGGACGUGGUGAACACGCACCCGGGGCUGUCGUUCCUGAAGGAGGCGUCCGAGUUCCA